UGCAGUGAGCUGAGAUUGCGCCACUGCACUCCAGCCUGGGUGACAGAGUGAGACUCCGUCUCAACUCAAAGAGCUGUUUAUGUUAAUAGGUCCAACAGGGUGAGUAUAUUUAUUGUAAUUCAGCUUUUUUUUUUUUUGCAAUAUUUUAUCACUAAUUUCAGCGAGCAGAAGACCUUCAGAAUCAAGUACACAUCUGAUCCACAUUCUGUCAUUUACACUUGUGUGGCUACUCAAGUUUUGCAGUGAAAUUAUAGAAAAAAAUAAAGAAUAUUGAUUUUAGACUGAGCAUAGUAGCUUAUGCCUGUAGUCCCAGUACUUUGGGAGGCCUAGGUGGGAGGACCACUUGAGGCCAGGAGUUUGAGACCAGCCUGGGCAACAUAGCCCAACUCUGUCUCUACAAAAAAUUAGUUGAGUGCCGU
rnacentral:lncRNA from 1 species